GCCCCGGUAGCUCAGCUGGUAGAGCGCAUGCCAUGUACGCAGCAGCCCAGGUUUGAAGCCGGCCCGGGUCC